UCUCAUGGAUGAGGAAAGAAAGAGGUUCUUUGAGAUGGAAUCUGCUCCCAGUCAAGAUGCUGUGAG
rnacentral:pre_miRNA from 1 species